GAUGAACGCUGCCAGAAUGCUUAACACAUGCAAGUCAACUUGAACUUCGGUUGGGUGGCGGACGGGUGAGUAACGCGUAAAGAACUUGCCUCACAGCUAGGGACAACAUUUGGAAACGAAUGCUAAUACCUGAUAUUAUGAUUUUAGGGCAUCCUAGGAUUAUGAAAGCUAUUGCGCUGUGAGAGAGCUUUGCGUCCCAUCAGCUAGUGGAGAGGUAACGGCUCACCAAGGCGAUGAUGGGUAGCCGGCCUGAGAGGGUGAUCGGCCACAAGGGGACUGAGACACGGCCCUUACUCCUACGGGAGGCAGCAGUGGGGAAUAUUGGACAAUGGACCAAGAGUCUGAUCCAGCAAUUCUGUGUGCACGAUGAAGUCUUUCGGAAUGUAAAGUGCUUUCAGUUGGGAAGAAAAAAAUGACGGUACCAACAGAAGAAGUGACGGCUAAAUACGUGCCAGCAGCCGCGGUAAUACGUAUGUCACAAGCGUUAUCCGGAUUUAUUGGGCGUAAAGCGCGUCUAGGUGGUUAUGUAAGUCUGAUGUGAAAAUGCAGGGCUCAACUCUGUAUUGCGUUGGAAACUGUGUAACUAGAGUACUGGAGAGGUAAGCGGAACUACAAGUGUAGAGGUGAAAUUCGUAGAUAUUUGUAGGAAUGCCGAUGGGGAAGCCAGCUUACUGGACAGAUACUGACGCUGAAGCGCGAAAGCGUGGGUAGCAAACAGG
rnacentral:rRNA from 1 species